UACGUAGGGUGCGAGCGUUAAUCGGAAUUACUGGGCGUAAAGUGUGCGCAGGUGGCCGCGCAAGUCGAGUGUGAAAUCCCCGGGCUUAACUUGGGAAUUGCGCUCGAAACUACGUGGCUAGAGUGUGGCAGAGGGAGGUGGAAUUCCACGUGUAGCGGUGAAAUGCGUAGAGAUGUGGAGGAACACCAAUGGCGAAGGCAGCCUCCUGGGCCAACACUGACACUCAUUCACGAAAGCCGGGGGAGCAAACAGG
rnacentral:rRNA from 1 species